rnacentral:rRNA from 1 species
CAUAAUCAUUAGUCUUUUAAUUGAAGGCUGGUAUGAAUGGUUGGAUGAGAUAUUAACUGUUUCAUUUAAAAUUUUUUUAGAACUUUAUUUUUUAGUUAAAAAGCUAAAAUAUUAUUAAAAGACGAGAAGACCCUAUAAAUCUUUAUAUUUUAUUUUUAUUAAUUAUUUAGAUAUUUUUAAUUAUUAAUAAUUAAAAUAUUUUAUUGGGGUGAUAUUAAAAUUUAAUAAACUUUUAAUUUUUAAAUACAUAAAUUUAUGAUUUUGUGAUCCAUUAUUAAUGAUUAAAAAUUUAAGUUACUUUAGGGAUAACAGCGUAAUUUUUUUGGAGAGUUCAUAUCGAUAAAAAAGAUU